UACGAAGGGGGCGGGCGUUGUUCGGAUUUACUGGGCGUAAAGGGCUCGUAGGUGGCCAACUAAGUCAGACGUGAAAUCCCUCGGCUUAACCGGGGAACUGCGUCUGAUACUGGAUGGCUUGAGUUCGGGAGAGGGAUGCGGAAUUCCAGGUGUAGCGGUGAAAUGCGUAGAUAUCCGAAGGAACACCGGUGGCGAAAGCGGCGCGCUGGACCUCUUCUGACGCUGAGGCGCGAAAGCCAGGGGAGCAAACGGG
rnacentral:rRNA from 1 species